UUAAAGGGAAAACUUCAAAAACCCCCCCUGUGGUUUCGUGCAUUCUCAUUUUGCUACCCUGUGGUUUAAAACGUAUCAAUUUGCCCCCCUGUGGUUUCGUUUUUAUUUUUUUGUUAUCAAUUUUAUUAUUAUUUUUUUUAAAAAUCAGUAACAAAGUUAAAAUAAAAGGAUACUAAAGUGACUAUUCGAUAAAUAUAGAUGGUUAUCUGAAGUUUUUUGUAUAUAAUUUAACGAGAUAUUAACGAAAAAGCUUCCGAAAAAAUAAAAAUGAAACCACAGGGAGGUAAAUUGAUACGUUUUAAACCACAGGGUAGCAAAGUGAGAAUGCACGAAACCACAGGGGGGGUUUUUGAAGUUUUCCC
rnacentral:lncRNA from 1 species